rnacentral:rRNA from 1 species
AGUGAACGCUGGCGGUAGGCCUAACACAUGCAAGUCGAACGGCAGCACAGUAAGAGCUUGCUCUUACGGGUGGCGAGUGGCGGACGGGUGAGGAAUACAUCGGAAUCUACUUUUUCGUGGGGGAUAACGUAGGGAAACUUACGCUAAUACCGCAUACGACCUACGGGUGAAAGCAGGGGAUCUUCUGACCUUGCGCGAUUGAAUGAGCCGAUGUCGGAUUAGCUAGUUGGCAGGGUUAAGGCCCACCAAGGCGACGAUCCGUAGCUGGGCUGAGAGGAUGAGAAGACGAACUGGGACAGAGACACGGGCUGUACUGCGAGGGGAGGCAGCAGUAUGGUAUAAAGGAGAAUGGGCGAAAGUCAGACACAGCAAGGCCGCGGGAGUGAUGAAGGAGUUAGCAAUGUAAAGCUCCCUGAAACGAGGUGAUAAUGACAGAAACGGGAAAAGAAGCACAGGCUAAAUACGUG